UAGUGGCGAACGGGUGAGUAACACGUGGGCAAUCUGCCCUGCACUCUGGGACAAGCCCUGGAAACGGGGUCUAAUACCGGAUACUGAUCGCCUUGGGCAUCCUUGGUGAUCGAAAGCUCCGGCGGUGCAGGAUGAGCCCGCGGCCUAUCAGCUUGUUGGUGAGGUAAUGGCUCACCAAGGCGACGACGGGUAGCCGGCCUGAGAGGGCGACCGGCCACACUGGGACUGAGACACGGCCCAGACUCCUACGGGAGGCAGCAGUGGGGAAUAUUGCACAAUGGGCGAAAGCCUGAUGCAGCGACGCCGCGUGAGGGAUGACGGCCUUCGGGUUGUAAACCUCUUUCAGCAGGGAAGAAGCGAAAGUGACGGUACCUGCAGAAGAAGCGCCGGCUAACUACGUGCCAGCAGCCGCGGUAAUACGUAGGGCGCGAGCGUUGUCCGGAAUUAUUGGGCGUAAAGAGCUCGUAGGCGGCUUGUCGCGUCGGUUGUGAAAGCCCGGGGCUUAACCCCGGGUCUGCAGUCGAUACGGGCAGGCUAGAGUUCGGUAGGGGAGAUCGGAAUUCCUGGUGUAGCGGUGAAAUGCGCAGAUAUCAGGAGGAACACCGGUGGCGAAGGCGGAUCUCUGGGCCGAUACUGACGCUGAGGAGCGAAAGCGUGGGGAGCGAACA
rnacentral:rRNA from 2 species